CCUACGGGAGGCAGCAGUGGGGAAUAUUGCACAAUGGGCGCAAGCCUGAUGCAGCAAUACCGCGUGUGUGAAGAAGGCCUGCGGGUUGUAAAGCACUUUCAAUUGUGAGGAAAAGCCCAGGGUUAAUAACCCUGGGUCUUGACGUUAGCAAUACAAGAAGCACCGGCUAACUCCGUGCCAGCAGCCGCGGUAAUACGGAGGGUGCAAGCGUUAAUCGGAAUUACUGGGCGUAAAGAGUACGUAGGCGGUUUAUUAAGUCAGAUGUGAAAGCCCCGGGCUUAACCUGGGAACUGCAUUUGAUACUGGUAAACUAGAGUAUGGUAGAGGGGGGUAGAAUUCCUAGUGUAGCGGUGAAAUGCGUAGAUAUUAGGAGGAAUACCAGUGGCGAAGGCGGCCCCCUGGACCAAUACUGACGCUGAGGUACGAAAGCGUGGGUAGCGAACAGGAUUAGAUACCCUGGUAGUCCACGCCGUAAACGAUGUCAACUAGCCGUUGGGGCCUUGAGGCUCCAGUGGUGCAGCUAACGCGUGAAGUUGACCGCCUGGGGAGUACGGCCGCAAGGCUAAAACUCAAAUGAAUUGACGGA
rnacentral:rRNA from 1 species